rnacentral:rRNA from 1 species
AACUCCGAAUACCUACAAGUGCCGAGCAUGGGGAGACACACGGCGGGUGCUAACGUCCGUCGUGAAAAGGGAAACAACCCAGACCGUCAGCUAAGGUCCCAAAGUUAUGGUUAAGUGGGAAACGAUGUGGGAAGGCUUAGACAGCUAGGAGGUUGGCUUAGAAGCAGCCACCCCUUUAAAGAAAGCGUAAUAGCUCACUAGUCGAGUCGGCCUGCGCGGAAGAUGUAACGGGGCUCAAACCAUACACCGAAGCUACGGGGUAUCACGUAAGUGAUGCGGUAGAGGAGCGUUCUGUAAGCCUGUGAAGGUGAGUUGAGAAGCUUGCUGGAGGUAUCAGAAGUGCGAAUGCUGACAUGAGUAACGACAAUGCGAGUGAAAAACUCGCACGCCGAAAGACCAAGGUUCCUGCGCAACGUUAAUCGACGCAGGGUUAGUCGGCCCCUAAGGCGAGGCAGAAAUGCGUAGUCGAUGGGAAGCAGGUUAAUAUUCCUGCACUUCUAGUUACUGCGAU